UGGCACAAAAUGAAAACCUAAACCCGCCCAACUCAAAACCACAUUCUCAAUCCUUUCCUAAAUCCAUCGUUUAUGUUUCUCACCAGAAGCUUUGUUUUGCCGAGCCUUUGUUCCGUAAACCCAUCGUCUAUAUUUCCCUAAACUCAUCUUUUCAUCAGAAACUCUGUUCACUGGCUGCUGCUGCUGCUGCUGGUUGCGUCGCUGACGCUCUUGCUUGCUGUUCGCCUGUUGCCACAGUUCUGUCCCUCUUCCUUUCUCUUUAUUUAUCUCUGACCACUGAGCCACGACCCACCGCACCCUUCGUUAACUGCCACUGCUUCCUCUGCGUCAACCCUCCUUACACAGCCAAUGCCAGUAUCGUUCUGGUGAUUCAUCCCCUCUGCUCAUUGCAACUGCUAGCCACUCCAUUUCUAAGUUCAACUAGCAUCCCCCCUCUCCCUAUAACUCAUUUUGUCAAUUCGCACCAGGUCAAUGGAUUGCUUUCGGUUAGGUUGGCCAAUGCGUGUUGAUGCUGAUUUCUUUUGGGUGCCAUCAAUUGAGCAGUUCAAUUUUGACAAAUCUAAUUUUAUGAUUAAAAAGGAAAAGACCCUUGGAUUCUUUCAAUUGGAUUCUUUUUCGACUUUAUCCAUGGCACAAUAUGAAAUGAAUUGCAGAUGUUCCUUCACAGCAUAGCAUGAUCCUGGGAACUCUUAUUGACAACCAAAUUGGCAAUCCUAUACUAUGUUUGAUUAAAUUGGUUUUAUUUUUUCAUCAAUCAUUUCUCAAUAUAAAUUUUAUGACUAAUUAUGUGAGAAUGCCAAAACAGAAGAUUGUUUUAAAAUAGAUGUAUUUGAUUAGCUUGUUUGAUAUUAUGAAUGUUUGAAUCUGUUCUGCCUUCUUUCUUUUUAAUAUUGGGUCAUAUUUUGUGGGGAUUUCAAACUCCCACAAUUUUUUUUUUAAAUAUUGGCUUACCAAAUUGCGGGAGUUUUAAACCGCUACAAAGUUGGAAAAAACCGCUGCUAAUUGCAGGGGUAAAAAACUGACGCAAUAUAUACCAGAUAACAGCGGUUUCUUAAAAACUCCCGCAAUUAAAUAGCAGGACACAUAACUGCGUUAAUUUUCUGAACCGAUGUAACUUUUUGCGCGGUCAAAAACUCCCGCUAAACCGAAAAAAAACUCCCGCAAUUUAGUGUCUUUUUUGUAGUGGCACUUAAGAAUACCUAUUGUUCUACGAAUUUCUCAACCCUCAAAACUCACUAUUUCUUAUAUAUCACAUUUUGUAUACUUCUUUGAAAAUAUUAUUUCAGAAAGAGUCACUCCUUGUAAUAA